rnacentral:lncRNA from 1 species
CAUAAUCCUUCCGAUGUGUAUUGGGUUCACAAGUCCAGUUUCUUCCUGACAAUCUUAAGUUAUAUCAUAGUUGUAUCUACCUAGAACAAUCUUAAGUGUGUGUCUUUGUAAUGUUUGUUAAAACAAUGCUAGAGUACAUCUUGAUGUGGAUUAUAGUUACCGUAACGAUUGUGUUGGCUGAAGCAAAACAUAUAGAUCUACAACAUGAAGG